GGGCACAUGGUGUAGUUGGUUUAUCACGCCCGCUUAGCAUUGUAUUGUUGCGGGAGGUGUUGGGUUCAAUUCCCAAUGUGUCCA